AUGCAGGAUGUUGCAUUAGCAUCUAUUUCGAUGAGGUCGGUACCAUUCGCGCUGGUUUUAGAGAAACUUUCCCUUUCAGACACAAAAUACAGAACCGUUAGGCGGUUUUAUAUAAAAACUCUUGAAGACAAUUCCAUACCAAUUUCACUUCAAGAAAACAUGAUAAAUGCAGGCCCACCAGAAAAGGUUUUCCAUCUGAAGGGUGCUGAUCAUUCUCCUUUCUUCUCAAAGCCUCAAGCUUUGCAUAAGUUAUUGGUAGAAAUCUCAACAAUCAUUUGA